rnacentral:rRNA from 1 species
CAGUAGCCACGGUAAUACGAAGGGUGCAAGCGUUAUCCGGAAUUAUUGGGCGUAAAGCGCGCGUAGGCGGUUUUUUAAGUCUGAUGUGAAGGCCCACGGCUCAACCGUGGAGGGUCAUUGGAAACUGGAAAACUUGAGUGCAGAAGAGGAAAGUGGAAUUCCAUGUGUAGCGGUGAAAUGCGCAGAGAUAUGGAGGAACACCAGUGGCGAAGGCGACUUUCUGGUCUGUAACUGACGCUGAUGUGCGAAAGCGUGGGGAUCAAACAGGAUUAGAUACCCGCGUAGUCCCUGUCUCUUAUAC